AGAGUUUGAUCCUGGCUCAGGAUGAACGCUGGCGGCGUGCUUAACACAUGCAAGUCGAACGGGAAUGUUUCGCUGAUGCGAUUUCGGUCAAAUCUUGAAGCAUUUUAGUGGCGGACGGGUGAGUAACGCGUGGGUAACCUGCCCUGUACAGGGGGACAACAGUUGGAAACGACUGCUAAUACCGCAUAGGCGCACAGCUUCGCACGAAGCAGUGUGAAAAACUCCGGUGGUACAGGAUGGACCCGCGUCUGAUUAGAUAGUUGGUGAGGUAACGGCCCACCAAGUCAACGAUCAGUAGCCGGCCUGAGAGGGCGAACGGCCACAUUGGGACUGAGACACGGCCCAAACUCCUACGGGAGGCAGCAGUGGGGAAUAUUGCACAAUGGGGGAAACCCUGAUGCAGCGACGCCGCGUGAGUGAAGAAGUAUUUCGGUAUGUAAAGCUCUAUCAGCAGGGAAGAAAACAAUGACGGUACCUGACUAAGAAGCCCCGGCUAACUACGUGCCAGCAGCCGCGGUAAUACGUAGGGGGCAAGCGUUAUCCGGAUUUACUGGGUGUAAAGGGAGCGUAGACGGUAGACCAAGUCUGAAGUGAAAGCCCGGGGCUCAACCCCGGAACUGCUUUGGAAACUGGUAAACUAGAGUGCAGGAGAGGUAAAUGGAAUUCCUAGUGUAGCGGUGAAAUGCGUAGAUAUUAGGAGGAACACCAGUGGCGAAGGCGGCUUACUGGACUGUAACUGACGUUGAGGCUCGAAAGCGUGGGGAGCAAACAGGAUUAGAUACCCUGGUAGUCCACGCCGUAAAUGAUGAUUACUAGGUGUCGGGGAGUUAAACUCUUCGGUGCCGCAGCAAACGCAAUAAGUAAUCCACCUGGGGAGUACGACCGCAAGGUUGAAACUCAAAGGAAUUGACGGGGGCCCGCACAAGCAGUGGAGUAUGUGGUUUAAUUCGAAGCAACGCGAAGAACCUUACCAGGUCUUGACAUCCGAUGCAUAGUGCAGAGAUGCAUGAAGUCCUUCGGGACAUCGAGACAGGUGGUGCAUGGUUGUCGUCAGCUCGUGUCGUGAGAUGUUGGGUUAAGUCCCGCAACGAGCGCAACCCUUAUUGCCAGUUACUACGCAAGAGGACUCUGGCGAGACUGCCGUUGACAAAACGGAGGAAGGUGGGGAUGACGUCAAAUCAUCAUGCCCUUUAUGACCUGGGCUACACACGUACUACAAUGGCGUUUAACAAAGAGAAGCAAGACCGUGAGGUGGAGCAAAACUCAAAGACAACGUCUCAGUUCAGAUUGCAGGCUGCAACUCGCCUGCAUGAAGUCGGAAUUGCUAGUAAUCGCGGAUCAGCAUGCCGCGGUGAAUACGUUCCCGGGCCUUGUACACACCGCCCGUCACACCAUGAGAGCCGGGGGGACCCGAAGUCGGUAGUCUAACCGCAAGGAGGACGCCGCCGAAGGUAAAACUGGUGAUUGGGGUGAAGUCGUAACAAGGUA
rnacentral:rRNA from 1 species